ACCAAUGACAUAAUCCGUUUCAAAUGAAACGGGCUAGGUCAUUGGCUUAUUUAUCCAACUGUAUUAAAGAUGCUUUACCAGGCAACGCGCUCAUUGGUACAUAUUUAAUUAACUAAUAAAAGAAAAUAAAUACGAACUCGUGAAAUAAACAAACAAAUAAAAUAAAAAAA